rnacentral:rRNA from 1 species
AUGGACGCGCACACCGGCGCCCGGCUCACCCCGCUGUACAGCCGCGACCCCCCCGCCGCCGCCGCCGGAAACCCUAGCGUGGGAAGCGCUGGCGUCGCCACCGCCACCGCCGGAAACCCUAGCAUGGGAAGCGCUGGCGUCGCCACCGCCGAAGCUCCGCCGAGCGUCAGCCUCGCGUGCAGCCUCUUCUUGCCGUCGCGGAUGACCACGGCACCGGGUGGCAUCGUGCCGGCGCCGUCUCGUGCCGCCGCUGCACCGUCGAAGAAGGUCCCCAAUGCGGCAUGGACGAAGAAGGGCAAAACAUCCGCGAAGAAAAAUAAGGCGGCAGACGGCUCCGGCACCACAAAGGCGAGGGGAAAGAAGCUUGCAGGGCGUCUGACGGCCGCGGCGGCUACCGAAGCGCCGACGAGCUCACUCGUUGAGCCGGCCGCCGACGCGCACCACGUGUUCGACGAAAUGCCCCCAAGUCUCAACGAUGAUGCAUACAUGUCCACUAUGGGUGUUGGGACCAACAAUUCGCAUUGGUCUCAAACCAAUGACAUCCAUUUCGAAGACCAUGAGUUUGAGGUGGACGAGGAGGAGUAUGUCAAUCUUGCCCAACAAGAAGUCUUGAUCCAAAAAAGAGUCUUGGUUCGUGCAAUGGGUGGCGGUGGCCUCGGCGCCAUGGGUGGCGGUGGCCUCGGUGCCAUGGGAGGCAUGGGUGGCUUCGGAGCCAUGGGAGGCAUGGGUGCACAUCCGGCCGCCAUGGGAGGCAUGGGUGCACCUCCGACCGCCAUCGGAGGCAUGGGUGCACCUCCGGCCGCCAUGGGAGGCAUGGGUGGCUUUGGAGCACCCUCCGACGCUAUGGCCGCCAUGGGAGGCAUGAGUUUUGCUUCUCUCAUGGGAGGCAUGGGUGCACCUCCGGCCGCCAUGGGUGCAAUGUCUUUCGAUGUGCCUUCUCACACACAUUCCCAUGAAGAUGCUGUUGAAGAUCUUGCCAACACUGUCGAAGGUUCACAUGAUGCGGUGCGUUUUGAGGAGAGGGAGGAAGAUUCAUCUUCGGAGGCGGAAGAGUCGUCUUCGGAAGAUGAGGACGAAGAUGAAGACGACGAAGAUGAAGAUUGA